AUCCACAGAAACUGCAGCUUAGGCUUGAGAGUGGAGCUGUCCCACAGGCGCGAUGACAGAAGUGGAGGAAACCCUCAAGAGAAUCCAGAGCCACAAAGGGGUCAUCGGAACGAUGGUGGUCAAUGCAGAAGGUAACUCUUGCCACAGGCUGACUGGGCUUGACACACAGAGACAAUCCAUUUACUGUGUCAAGAGUGACGACAUUUACAUUAGAUUCUGAGCUUAACACCAUGUUUUGCCUGUGCCAGUUAUUCAUCAGACAUCUAUUGGAUACCUACUGUAUACCAAUCACUUAAGAGCUGGGGCCACAGAGACACUGUCUACCUACUGUAUACCAAUCACUUAAGAGCUGGGGCCACAGAGACAUUGUCUAAGACACACACACACACACACACACACACACACACACACACAAACAC
rnacentral:lncRNA from 1 species